UGAUUCUCACCACUUGUUUGUGGUGGAGCUCAGAUUCCCUCCCCAGGGACUGAUGGAAGCUCAGCUCCCCCUGUACUAACCUGGAUAUCGUACCUGCCUAUCACUAAAGAGCUGAGUGACAUUUCAUUUCAUUACAUUUUGCAGGAGGCUAAACUUAGGGAACUUUAAAGUUUUUGCCUUGGAACGACGUGCUCAUGCAAGGUUUUUCUGCUGUGGAUUGUUGAUGCUGCAGGAGCAGAUAGACUGAUGUGCCUUGAAUUCCAACAAGGAGAAGACAACCAACAUGGUGCUCCCCUGACCCACUGGACCAUCAAGUUAUGUUGCGUGACAGGAGUGACUGAAAUCUGUGGAAAGGACUGCUCUCCAGGGAUUGUUUAAGAAGUAAAUGAGGAAACAUCUCUCACCUAUGAUGAUAGGGUAGUGAGUUAUUCUAUUGUUUAGAAUUGGGGUUAACUGUUUUUGUUUUAAACUCUGCUAAGGUUAUUUUUAUAGUGGUCUAAAAUUAAAAAUUUGUUGAGAAACUCAA